AACUUCCUGCAAGAGUUCCAAGGAUUAUGCAUCUGAGGAAAGCAGAUACUAGGCACCAAAAGAUCCAAACCCAACACUGAAAGUUAAAACUGCAAGGACUUGUGCACCCUUUUCAAACUCACUGGGCAAAUGAUUUGGCUUUGGGAUAAAAGGUCACAGACAACUUCAUCUCUUUACCAUUACUUCAACCAGAGAUCCUACUUGGCAAGAGAUGCACUCAAAGUACCAGGCUUGCGGUCAUGGAAUAGAAUUGAUCUACAAGCAGCACUUAACAGUACCAAAUUUUUAUCUAUCAUUCUAUAAUAAAGGUACAUGAUAUUUAACCAAAA